rnacentral:rRNA from 1 species
UAGUAUUCAAUUGUCAGAGGUGAAAUUCUUGGAUUUAUUGAAGACUAACUACUGCGAAAGCAUUUGCCAAGGAUGUUUUCAUUAAUCAAGAACGAAAGUUAGGGGAUCGAAGACGAUCAGAUACCGUCGUAGUCUUAACCAUAAACUAUGCCGACUAGGGAUCGGAUGAUGUUAUUUUUAAUGACUCA